UGUCAUUGUGUUAAACCAGCCAGAGGUA
rnacentral:sRNA from 1 species